AAUUUUGGACAAUGGGGGAAACGCUGAUCCAGCCAUGCCGCGUUUAUGAUGAAUGCCUUCUGGUUGUAAAGUACUUUUGGCAGAGAAGAAAAGGUAUCCCCUAAUACGGGCUACUGCUGACUGCAUCUCCAGAAUAAGCAUCGGCUAACUACGUACCUCCAGCCGCGGUAAUACGUAGGGUGCAAGCGUCAAUCGGAAUUACUGGGCGUAAAGCAUGUGUAGGCGGUUCGGAAAGAAAGAUGUGAAAUCCCAGGGCUCAACCUUGGAACUGCAUUUUUAACUGCCGAGCUAGAGUAUGUCAGAGGGGGGUAGAAUUCCACGUGUAGCAGUGAAAUGCGUAGAUAUGUGGAGGAAUACCGAUGGCGAAGGCAGCCCCCUGGGAUAAUACUGACGCUCAGACACGAAAGCGUGGGGAGCAAACAGG
rnacentral:rRNA from 1 species